GUGCCAGCAGCCGCGGUAAUACGUAGGUGGCAAGCGUUAUCCGGAUUUACUGGGUGUAAAGGGCGUGUAGGCGGGACUGCAAGUCAGAUGUGAAACCCAUGGGCUCAACCCAUGGCCUGCAUUUGAAACUGUAUUUCUUGAGUGAUGGAGAGGCAGGCGGAAUUCCGUGUGUAGCGGUGAAAUGCGUAUAUAUACGGAGGAACACCAGUGGCGAAGGCGGCCUGCUGGACAUUAACUGACGCUGAGGCGCGAAAGCGUGGGGAGCAAACAGGAUUACAUACCCUGGUAGUUCACGCUGUAAACGAUGGAUACUAGGUGUGGGGGGACUGACCCCUUCCGUGCCGCAGCUAACGCAAUAAGUAUCCCACCUGGGGAGUACGAUCGCAAGGUUGAAACUCAAAGGAAUUGACGGGGGCCCGCACAAGCGAUGGAGUAUGUGGUUUAAUUCGAAGCAACGCAAAGAACCUUACCAGGGCUUGACAUCCCGAUGACCGGACUAGAGAUAGUCUUUCUUCUUCAGAAGCAUCGGUGAGAGGUGGUGCAUGGUUGUCGUCAGCUCGUGUCGUGAGAUGUUGGGUUAAGUCCCGCAACGAGCGCACUCCUCUAUUGUUAGUUGCUACGCAAGAGCACUCUAGCGAGACUGCCGUUGACAAAACGGGAGGGAGGGUGGGGGACGACGUCAAAUCAUCAUGCCCUCUUUAUGUCCUGAGCUACACACGUACUACAAUGGCGGUCAACAGAGGGAGGGCCAUACCCGGCGAGGUAGCAGCACACCCCCUAACAGCCGUCCCAGUUCGGAUUGCAGGCUGCAACCGGGCUGUAUGAAGUAGCAUCGCUAGUAUCGGAGGAAUCAGCAUGCCGCG
rnacentral:rRNA from 1 species